rnacentral:rRNA from 1 species
CCUGAACGCUGGCGGUAUGCUUAAGACAUGCAAGUCGAACGGUAACAGACCUUCGGGUGCUGACGAGUGGCGGACGGGUGAGUAACACGUGGGAAUCUACCUUGUAGUGGGGGAUAAGCCAGGGAAACUUGGACUAAUACCGCAUACGCCCUAAGGGGGAAAGGAGUAAUUCGCUAUAAGAUGAGCCCGCGUCUGAUUAGCUAGUUGGUGAGGUAAAGGCUCACCAAGGCGACGAUCAGUAGCUGGUCUGAGAGGAUGACCAGCCACAUUGGGACUGAGACACGGCCCAGACUCCUACGGGAGGCAGCAGUCGGGAAUAUUGGACAAUGGGGGCGAACCCUGAUCCAGCAAUACCG